rnacentral:tRNA from 1 species
AAAGGGAGACCUAAUUCAGGUAUGGGACGAAAAAAAAGUAGUCGCUACCAAGAAUCAAUCCCAAAAGGUCGGAGCGAGGCAUGAGGCUUUCAAACUAGGUUCUGGGUUCACACAAGACCUGAAUCAGGAACAAGGGCUAUUAGCUCAGGUGGUUAGAGCGCACCCCUGAUAAGGGUGAGGUCCCUGGUUCGAGUCCAGGAUGGCCCACCUGCACAGGUGGCAAAAACAAGAGAAGCUCCGAAUCAGCACCUUAUCUUAUCUAUAUAUAAGAGAGAAUGCUGGCUCUGAGUAAAGAGUCCAGAGGAACCUUGAAAACUGCAUAGAGCUAGGUGAAAAAGCCAAAAAAGAAGACCGCAAG